AUACGGAGGGUCCAAGCGUUAUCCGGAAUCAUUGGGUUUAAAGGGUCCGCAGGCGGUCAAUUAAGUCAGAGGUGAAAGCCCAUCGCUCAACGAUGGAACUGCCUUUGAUACUGGUUGACUUGAGUUAUACGGAAGUAGAUAGAAUAAGUAGUGUAGCGGUGAAAUGCAUAGAUAUUACUUAGAAUACCGAUUGCGAAGGCAGUCUACUACGUAUAUACUGACGCUGAGGGACGAAAGCGUGGGGAGCGAACGGGAUUAGAAACCCUAGUAGUCC
rnacentral:rRNA from 1 species